CCCGCAAAAAAAACAAUGAUUUUUGGCUGUGUUGCAAACACCCAGAGGAAUGAAACCAACCAUGACUAGAUAAACGAUUGUUUACAGGGGGAAAUCAAGUCAAAUGCUCCGUAAAAAAUUGAUAGAGAUGGAAUUCACGGCACAAACGGUUUACAAAAUGUUUUGAUUUAGGCUAUAAAAAUGGAUUUUAUCAAAGAAAACGGCACUUCAUUUGAUCACUGGGACCCCCAGAAAGAGAAAUAAGAGCAAGAUAUCAGAAUAGAAGUGUGACUGACAAGCUCUCUCAUUGAUCUCGGGUUCAGCCACCAGGGGGAGCCCACCCUCGAUGACAACCAGGAGAUGACUCAACCUUUCAACUGUUUUGAAAUGAUGGGACGGCUAUUGAAUACAACUUUAAAACCUGGUUGUCUUGUAUGUACCGGUUUAUGAGGGUUGCCUAAUCACACAUAUGACAUUUUGGAAAGAUGUGACCUUUUUAACCCCUCAUGACCCCAAUGUAAGGCACUUCCGGUUGUCACAGGAAGCUGUAAUUAAACACAUUUCCUCACUGGGACACCUUUUUACAAAAUCCUGAGUUUCAAGCCUUUAUGUUAAAAACUGAUUGAUUUACAGAGGGUUGAAUACAGUGUUUUGCUCUAACUGUAGGCAGUGAUUUCAAAACAUGUUUUAGGGUCAAUUGAACCACUUCCGGUUGCUCCAGGAACCUGAAAAUCAACACAUGUAAUCCUUAUACUAGCCUGAUUAGUUGUCAUUAGUUGUCAUUGAUGGUAGUAGCCUAGUGGUUAGAGCGUUGGAUUAGUAACCGGAAGGUUGCAAGUUCUAACCCCUGAGCUUACAAGGUACAGAUCUGUCGUUCUGCCCCUGAACAGGCAGUUAACCCACAGUUCCUAGGCCGUCAUUGAAAAUAAGAAUUUGUUCUUAACUGACUUGCCUGGUUAAAUAAAGGUAAAAAAAACAAACAUUCAAAUUGAAUGAUCAAAUCAAAUCAACGUUUGUCACAUCCACAGGACACAACAGCUGUAAACAGUACAGUGAAAUGCUGACUUCCAAGCUCUUCUUCAACAAGUCAGAAUUCAAUAUCACAGGUAAAGAAAUAGAAAGAGAUCACCGGUUCCGUCUGUGUGAUUGACAGCUCCAUGUCAUGGCCAGAAGAUCUCUGUGAGGGGAGUGGACAGACACAUGAAGAAGCUUCAAUGUGAAUACUCCUUCACCAACCAGGACAAUGUCAACUUCUGUCUGAUCAAUGACCACUUAUCCUCCUGGGAACUGAUCUGGACCGGGUAGCAUGAUUUGGUUAGAGAGGGGAGAUUCCCUGUGUAAUAGAGGUCUAGGAUAUUGUUGAGCCUGUGUUUUAAUCCUAACCCUGUCUAAUAGAGGUCUAGGAUAUUGUUGAGCCUGUGUUUUAAUCCUAACCCUGUCUAAUAGAGGUCUAGGAUAUUGUUGAGCCUGUGUUUUAAUCCUAACCCUGUCUAAUAGAGGUCUAGGAUAUUGUUGAGCCUGUGUUUUAAUCCUAACCCUGUCUAAUAGAGGUCUAGGAUAUUGUUGAGCCUGUGUUUUAAUCAUAACCCUGUCUAAUAUAGGUUUAGGAUAAUGUUGAGCCUGUGUUUUAAUCCUAACCCUGUCUAAUAGAGGUCUAGGAUAUUGUUGAGCCUGUGUUUUAAUCCUAACCCUGUCUAAUAGAGGUCUAGGAUAUUGUUGAGCCUGUGUUUUAAUCCUAACCCUGUCUAAUAGAGGUCUAGGAUAUUGUUGAGCCUGUGUUUUAAUCAUAACCCUGUCUA